ensembl:lncRNA
AUUAUUCAAAUAUUUGGAAAAUCACUGACACUUGACUGAGAGGUAAUGCAAGACAACAGUAAUGCAAAUUCUUCUUCUUUUUGCUUAAAAUUUGCAUCUACCAUUAGAACAGGGUGAAUUCAGGUUCACUGGCCACUUUUAACAUGAGACAACUGUCAAAACGUUGUGUGAUUUAUCUGAAUUUACCCAAUAAAGUCCUAUUAACUCAGUGGAUGAGAACAUCUGCAACAAAUCAUGUAUUUUAUUUUUUAUUUAUGAUGUUUUUUUUUAUUAUGAUUAUUGAUUUAUUUUAGUUUUUUAAAAAGCCUGACUGACUCCACAAAUACUAGUGCAUAGCUUGUCUCUGUGUUUUUCUUUUUUGAAUAAAAGAAUGCAAAUGAAUAAAUUGAGGAGACACUUAAGAGUAAAAGAAUGAAAAGGAGUGUAAGGCAUGUGAGAAUUUCAUGCCUGAGGAUGUAAACACUCCCUCUUGUUGUGUUCAUUCAUGUUUUUCUGAGUGACAGGGAGCUGUGCCACAAGGCAACAUCUUAAGAUGGUGAGCCUCUGAAUUAUGUCAAUAUUUUAAUUGCUCAGCAUUUACACCAACAUCUCUCAAAGCAAGAGAUUUUGACAAAAGAACACUAUUCUGCCUUUCUGCAGAGAAAUCUAAAAUGAUUAUAAGGCUUUUUGUACAAAAGAAACGUUGCAUCUAAUGCUAUGGAUGAUGCAGUGCUAUAAAAGGCCAGCAGAGGGCCCUGUUGAGCUCCGUGUCACAGCAUGUGUGAUGCAGCAGGGCUGUUACAGUAGGGCUGCAAAAAUUCAAAACACUAUAAAACUGGAGAGCUAUGGGAACGAUCAUCUCAGAGAGCCUACAGGUUCCCUUACCUCUCACACAGCUUUCUGUGCCACGGCAGGAUGAAACCUGGCAAAGCGUCAGAAACAACAAAGAAGAUUCCCUAUAAGUAGAGAGGUGACUGCCAUUCGCCACUGCGGUCAGCAAUAUGUGACGGAGGUGAUUGCUGUGUGUGUGUUCAGGAACAUGCAGCCCUCCAGCACUGGCCUAAUAAAAGAGCUGAAGAGAUUGAGCCAUUACCAUGUCAGACCUCCUACUAUUAUGACCCAUUAAAAGUGCUCAACCCCUGAUUCAGACCCAUUAUAUUUAUUGAAUCUAGAAACUGAUUGAUGUUGCGCUGGCCAAAACACCUCAUACCAUGCACACUUGCCCCAGCUGUGCUUAAAAUCAUCCAGCGAUUUCUGUGGUUAGACUAGUUUUAAAUCUACACAAGCCUGCAUCUCUCUGAAUCUGUUCAUGCACAGAUAGCCAAUGCCAAAAAUGAAUUUUUAACAGCAGGUCUCAAAUGAAUAGGUCUAAAAAUUAUAUCAAAU